rnacentral:snRNA from 13 species
CACCUUGCGCAGUGGCAAUAUCGUAAUCAAUGAAGUUCUACUGAGAUGCGGUUAUUGCUAGUUGAAAACUACAUGUAUUAUUGUCGUUAUAUUAAUUAUAACAUACUUAUGUUUGUAAGUUCUGGUAACAG